ensembl:rRNA 5S_rRNA 5S ribosomal RNA
GCUGGCAGCUAGCUCUUUUUAACUUUCACAUGGUCACCCACUGAAGCUAAGCAAGACUGUGCCCAGUCAGUACCUGGAUAGGAGACCACAUGGGAAAGCUAGGUUGCUGCCAGAA